rnacentral:rRNA from 1 species
UACGUAGGGUGCGAGCGUUGUCCGGAAUUAUUGGGCGUAAAGAGCUCGUAGGCGGUGUGUCACGUCGGCCGUGAAAACCUGCAGCUUAACUGUGGGCGUGCGGUCGAUACGGGCAUCACUGGAGUUCGGCAGGGGAGACUGGAAUUCCUGGUGUAGCGGUGAAAUGCGUAGAUAUCAGGAGGAACACCGGUGGCGAAGGCGGAUCUCUGGGCCAUUACUGACGCUGAGGAGCGAAAGCGUGGGGAGCGAACAGG